rnacentral:rRNA from 1 species
GACAGAGGGUGCAACCGUUGUUCGGAAUUACUGGGCGUAAAGCGCGUGUAGGCGGCUGCGCAAGUCGGAUGUGAAAUCCCGUGGCUCAACCACGGAAGUGCACCCGAAACUGCGUAGCUGGAGUCUCGGAGAGGAAGGUGGAAUGCUUGGUGUAGAGGUGAAAUUCGUAGAUAUCAAGCGGAACACCGGUGGCGAAGGCGGCCUUCUGGACGAUGACUGACGCUGAGACGCGAAAGCGUGGGGAGCAAACAGG